rnacentral:rRNA from 1 species
UACGGAGGGUGCGAGCGUUGUCCGGAAUCACUGGGCGUAAAGGGCGCGUAGGUGGCUUAGAAAGCGUGUGGUGAAAGCCCGGGGCUUAACCCCGGGUCUGCCGUGCGAACUACUAUGGCUAGAGGACUGUAGAGGCAAGUUGAAUUCCGGGUGUAGCGGUGGAAUGCGUAGAGAUCCGGAAGAAUACCGGUGGCGAAGGCGGCUUGCUGGGCAGUUUCUGACACUGAGGCGCGACAGCGUGGGGAGCAAACAGGG